rnacentral:rRNA from 1 species
AUUGAACGCUGGCGGCAGGCCUAACACAUGCAAGUCGAGCGGAUGAAGCGAGCUUGCUCCUGGAUUCAGCGGCGGACGGGUGAGUAAUGCCUAGGAAUCUGCCUGGUAGUGGGGGAUAACGUCCGGAAACGGGCGCUAAUACCGCAUACGUCCUGCGGGAGAAAGUGGGGGAUCUUCGGACAUCACGCUAUCAGAUGAGCCUAGGUCGGAUUAGCUAGUUGGUGGGGUAAAGGCCUACCAAGGCGACGAUCCGUAACUGGUCUGAGGGGAUGAUCAGUCACACUGGAACUGAGACACGGUCCAGACUCUUACGGGAGGCAGCAGUGGGGAAGAUUGGACGAAGGGCGAAAGCCUGAUCCAGCCAUGCCGCGUGUGUGAAGAAGGUCUUCGGAUUGUAAAGCACUUUAAGUUGGGAGGAAGGGCAGUAAGUUAAUACCUGGCUGUUUUGACGUUACCAACAGAAUAAGCACCGGCUAACUUCGU